rnacentral:rRNA from 1 species
UACAGAGGUCUCAAGCGUUGUUCGGAUUCAUUGGGCGUAAAGGGUGUGUAGGUGGCGGCGUAAGUCGGGUGUGAAAUUUCGGAGCUUAACUCCGAAACUGCAUUCGAUACUGCGGUGCUUGAGGACUGGAGAGGAGACUGGAAUUCAUGGUGUAGCAGUGAAAUGCGUAGAGAUCAUGAGGAAGACCAGUGGCGAAGGCGGGUCUCUGGACAGUUCCUGACACUGAGACACGAAGGCCAGGGGAGCAAACGGG